UCAGGUUUAACCAAAAGGGUUUAUCUUGAUAGGGUAAAAUAAUAAAAACCAGUG
rnacentral:tRNA from 1 species